GCCUCCAUAGCUCAGUCGGUAGAGCAUCAGACUUUUAAGUAUACGUCGCAUAAGAAAUCUGAGGGUCUGGGGUUCGAGUCCCCAUGUGGGCU
rnacentral:tRNA from 1 species